UACGUAGGGGGCGAGCGUUGUCCGAAGUUACUGGGCGUAAAGCGCGCGUAGGCGGCCAUCUAAGUUCGGGGUGAAAGGUUCAACGCUCAACGUGAACAGUGCCCUGAAUACUGGCUGGCUUGAGUUCGGGAGGGGGCAGUGGAAUUCCAGGUGUAGCGGUGAAAUGCGUAGAUAUCUGGAGGAACACCGGUGGCGAAGGCAGCAUCCUGGACCAAUAUUGACGCUGAGGAGCGAAAGCCAGGGGAGCAAACGGG
rnacentral:rRNA from 1 species